rnacentral:lncRNA from 1 species
UGCUUCCUACUUCCAGAAACCAGUCCUUUUCAGGAGAGCGUUGAUAUUCUUUUAACAUCAAGGGGUGAAGGAUUUAUACUGCAUGACCCAAAGGCAGGUAUCACACCAGUGAGUGGUAAGAAAGGAAUUGACAUUUAUUGAGCACCAACUGUGUACCUGUCACUGAACUAGGGAUUUUCACAGGUUAUUUCCUAAAUUGUAGUAAAUUGUAUUUCUUAAUUAUAGUAAAAAUUGUAGUAAAAAGUUAUUUCUUAGAUUGCAAAAAAAUUGCAAUUACUUAAAUUGUAGUAAAAUUAUAGUAAAGUUACAUAACGAAAUUUACCAUCGUAAUCAUUUAAGUAUAUAGUUCAGUGGUGGUAUUAAAUACAUUCACCUCAUUGUGUGACCAUCAGAUCAGCAUCGUCCAUAGAACUUUUUUCAUCUCGUCAUAUUGGAAACUCUGUUACCUAUUAAACAAUAACUGCCCAUUAUCUCCUCCUCUGAGCUCCUGAAAGCCACCAUUCAAUUUUCCAUCUCUAUGAAUUUGACUUCUUUAGGUGCCCCAAUAGAAGUAGAGUCAUACAGUAUUUGUCCUUUUGUGACUGGCUUAUUUUACUUAACACCAUGUCCUCAGGGUUUAUUCAUGCUGUGAAUAACAUGACAGGCUUUCUUUCCUUUUACAGGCUGAAUAAUAUUCCAGUGUCUGUAUGUGCAUUUUGUUUCCCCAUUCAUCUGUCAGUGGACACUUGGGUGACUUCUAGCUUUUGACCAUUGUGAAUACUGUUGCUAUGUUCAGGUUAUAUUAUUUAAGCCACAUAACAAUUUAGUGAUUCAGGAGUUAUUAAACUCAUGUUACAGGAGAGGACACUGAGGCUGAAUGGAGUGAAGUGACAAAGUAGAUGUAUGAGAAUUAAAAUGUGCAGGGAAGAAUCUCAUUUUAGUGACAGCCCAGAGAAGACAGGCUGCCCUGUCAGCUCAAGCAGAGGCUGUAGGGGCAGCUGGUAGGGAUGUGGUCACAAGCUGUGGAGGAGGAAGGAGAAAAAAGGAAGGGUGAGGAGGCUAGGAUUCUCAAUUCCUUCCAACUCAGAUUUUUUUUUUUGGUCCCUGUAUAACUUAAGUUUAAAAACAUCAGUUGAACUUUGUUUAAUGUUUUGUAUAGAUUAGGAAACCUAAAAACACUUCAUGCCUCUUUGUAAAUUACAGUUCUGUUUUUAUGAGAAUUUGCUUAGUGGAAGGUUAUCAAGUGACAUCUAAUAUUCAAAUUGUAUCACUGUAAUGAUUUGAUUCCAGGAACAUAUUUCCAGAAAGAAAAGUGGAAACAGUAAAAGAAGAAGGAGAAGAAGAAGGAGGAGGAGAAGAAAAAGAAACCUAUAUGUGAAUUAGCAGACACUCAGAAAAUGAGUACUUCACAUCACUACCCUCACUCAUUCCUAUAGGCACCGAGCAAGCUGCUGUGGGGUGGGGUAGAAAAGAGCAUAGAUCUCAUGAUAGUGCUGACAUGGAUUCAGUGCUAACCCUGCUAUUUACCAGCCAUGUGCCAUCCCUCUGAGCUACAAUUUAUUUAUUAAAU